rnacentral:rRNA from 1 species
GGAUACUGCUAUCGGAAUCUGACUAAGCCAUGCAAGUUGACUCUUACACUUGUAAGGGUGGCAAACGGCUGAGUAACACGUAGUCAAUCUACCCCAAGGAAGUGAAUAACCUCGGGAAACUGAGGGUAAUCCGCUAUAGGCAAUUGAGGCUGCAAUGCGCUUUUGUUUAAACGGUGUGUGAAUUGGAGCAUUCCCGCCUUGGGAUGAGGCUGCGGAAGAUUAGGUUGUUGGCGGGGUAACGGCCCACCAAGCCGAUAAUCUUUAGGGGUCAUGUAAGUGAUAACCCCCAGAAGGACACUGAGACAAGGGUCCUAGCCCUACGGGGUGCAGCAGGCGCGAAAACUUUGCAAUGCGCGAAAGCGUGACAAGGAGAUUCCGAGUGGUUCUCAACUGAGAACCUUUUGACGAGUAUAGACCACUCGUAGAAUAAGUGGCGGGUAAGACCGGUGCCAGCCGCCGCGGUAAUACCGGCACCACAAGUGGUAUCCACGCAUAUUGGGUCUAAAGCGCUCGUAGUCGGCUGAAUUAGCUAUUGGUGAAAUUCUUGAGCUCAACUUGAGAGCGUGCCAGUAGAACUGUUCGGCUUGGGAGUGGGGGAGGUUAGAAGUACGCUUGGGGUAGGGGUUAAAUCUGUUAAUCCUAGGCGGACUAGCAGUGGCGAAGGCGUCUAACCAAAACACGUCCGACGAUGAGGUGCGAAGGCCAGGGGAGCAAACGGGAUUAGAUACCCCGGUAGUCCUGGCUGUAAAUGAUGUAGAUUUGGUGUUACGUUAGCCUCGAGCUAGCGUAGUGCCGUAGCGUAGGUGUUAAAUCUACCACCUGGGGAGUACGGCCGCAAGGCUAAAACUUAAAGGAAUUGGCGGGGGAGCACCACAAGGCGUGGAGGCUGCGGUUU